UCCCAGCUUUCUCUGCUCCCCACAUUGUCUGAGUCUGGCAGUGUGACCCACGGAUGGUGGCCUCUGCCUCGGGGUGCUGCAGGUCUCACUGAGGGCUGAGCCCCUGCAAAGGUGGCCCUGGGCUGGAUUUCACAGGACCUGAAGGAAGUCUGCAGGCUGAGAGUGUCAGGUCGUGUGUGUAAGGAAGGCCUGCAAUAGAGGAGCAGAGGCCAGAAAACGCACAGGCUGGUUUUAGAAAACAAACAGGGAUCUCGCACAAGAGAAGGCACACCGGUGGAUAGAAGGAAAUGAGCCUGUAUACAGAUGGUCAUGGGUCACAGAAUUUAUGAAGCCAGCAGGCUGCAGUGUCUACACAAAGUGAUUCUGAUGCUUUGCCCUGGACCUCGGUGGCUGUAAAUGACGCUGCUUGGUGACAGCUGGAGGAGGGCAUUCUGAUGCACAGCCUCAGAGCCACAUUUCCCAGAUUAGGCCAGCAAUGACCCAGCUGCACAGCCCGACUUCAGGAAAUUAAAUUGGAGGGCGUCCAAACCUCUGUUGAAAUAACCGUGAUUUGCUGCUACCAGAAUGAGCAGACCAACAUGACAGCCUCAUCAGAACAUCACCACAUGGAACGCCCCCCUGACCUCACCUAGCAGAGCCCACUCCCCUGGGCCUGUGGGACCUCAGGAGAGGAGGUGAGACCUGCUCCAUCUGUUCCUCCACCUCACUGCUCUUAACCCUCUUAGACAUCAACAUCCCAGGCUAAUAACUCCAUGCUUGGAAAAUGGAAUAGACAGUCAGGCAUGAGUUUAAAUAAACAAUGAUAAAGAGAGUCUUUAUAAAGAAUAAAAGAAUUGUGCUGCAAUAAACAUUGAUGUGGCCA